rnacentral:rRNA from 1 species
UAAAUGGAUACCUCAACGUUAAAAAUUAAAGAACGUUUGUUAAACGAAAUGUUGUAACGAGUCAAGCUAUUUUAACUUACAACUUUUCUAAAUCGGAAACGAGUUUUGAAAAAUUUAAACAGAUUUUAAUUGUCUUUCAAUUAAAAUUUUUAGAAACUAGUGAACUGAACCAUCUAAGUAACUAGAAAAAAAAUCAACCGAGAAUCCGUUAGUAGUGGCGAGCAAAAGCGGUAUAGACUAUUUUUAAAAGCUACAGGUAGUGUGUUUAAGACUUAAUAGCCAAAGAAGGUAGCAUAAAAUUGAAUAUAUGUAGCCCUGUAAAACACACACCAAAAUUUUAAAAUGCAAAGUAAAAUGAUACAAGUCAUGUAUUAUUUCAACAAUGGGGUCCCACCCUCAAAGUCUAAAAAAUUUUAACGAUUGAUAGCGAAUAGUACCGUAAGGGAAAGGUGAAAUAGAAUUUUCGAAUUUGAAAAGAACUUGAAAUUUAAUGUUUAUAAUCAGUUGUAGCUUUAAAAAAGUGACAGCGUUCCUUUUGCAUAAUGAAUCAAUGAGUUUAUAUCAAUGGCAAGCUUAAACGUUUAAAAGUGUAGGCUAAAAAAAAUUGAGUUUUAAAUUGCGCUCUUUUAAAAAUAUUAUUAGUCUUUGAUAUAAGACCCGAAACUAAGUGAUCUAAUCAUGAACAGGCUGAAUUUAAAGCGGUAACGCUUAUUGAAGGGCCGAACUCGUGUAUGUAGAAAAAUACUGAGAUGAUUUGUGAUUAGGGGUGAAAGGCCAAUCAAACUCGGAGAUAGCUGGUUCUCUGCGAAAUCUAUUUAGGUAGAGCGUCAUCUGAAUACCCCGGGGGGUAGAGCACUGAAUGGGUAAUGGGGGCCUACAGCCUUACUGAUCCUAAUCAAACUCCGAAUACCCGGGAGUACUAGAUGGCAGACACACUGCGGAUGCUAACGUCCGUAGUGGAGAGGGAAACAACCCUGACCUACGACUAAGGCCCCUAAUUCAUGGCUAAGUGGGAAAGCAGGUGGGACGACCAAAACAACCAGGAGGUUGGCUUAGAAGCAGCCAUCCUUUAAAGAUAGCGUAACAGCUCACUGGUCUAAAUAAGUUGUCCUGCGGCGAAGAUGUAACGGGGCUCAAGCCAUGAGCCGAAGUCUAGGAUGCACAUAGUGCAUGGUAGCAGAGCGUAGUG